rnacentral:tRNA from 1 species
UCCCUGGUGGUCCAGUGGUUAAGACGCCACACUCGCAAUGCAGAGGGCAUUGGUUCAACUCCUGGUCAGGGAA